ensembl:snoRNA SNORD14 Small nucleolar RNA SNORD14
UCGCUGUGAUGACGACAUUUCCUGCCAUUCGUAGUUUCCACCAGAGGUCAGCAGACCAAAGACGGCACAAAUCUUCCUUGGAUGUCUGAGCGA